CCCGUCCUAUUCGGGCUCCCGCCUCUGUUCAGGACACUGGGUCCCCUUGGAGCCUCCCCAGGCUUAAUGAUUGUCCAGAAGGCGGCUAUAAAGGGAGCCUGGGAGGCUGGGUGGAGGAGGGAGCAGAAAAAACCCAACUCAGCAGAUCUGGGAACUGUGAGAGCGGCAAGCAGGAACUGUGGUCAGAGGCUGUGCGUCUUGGCUGGUAGGGCCUGCUCUUUUCUACCAUGGCAGCCCAGGGCUAUGGCUAUUAUCGCACUGUGAUCUUCUCAGCCAUGUUUGGGGGCUACAGCCUGUAUUACUUCAAUCGCAAGACCUUCUCCUUUGUCAUGCCAUCAUUGGUGGAAGAGAUCCCUUUGGACAAGGAUGAUUUGGGGUUCAUCACCAGCAGCCAGUCGGCAGCUUAUGCUAUCAGCAAGUUUGUCAGUGGGGUGCUGUCUGACCAGAUGAGUGCUCGCUGGCUCUUCUCUUCUGGGCUGCUCCUGGUUGGCCUGGUCAACAUAUUCUUUGCCUGGAGCUCCACAGUACCUGUCUUUGCUGCCCUCUGGUUCCUUAAUGGCCUGGCCCAGGGGCUGGGCUGGCCCCCAUGUGGGAAGGUCCUGCGGAAGUGGUUUGAGCCAUCUCAGUUUGGCACUUGGUGGGCCAUCCUGUCAACCAGCAUGAACCUGGCUGGAGGGCUGGGCCCUAUCCUGGCAACCAUCCUUGCCCAGAGCUACAGCUGGCGCAGCACGCUGGCCCUAUCUGGGGCACUGUGGUGUGGUUGUCUCCUUCCUCUGUCUCCUGCUCAUCCACAAUGAACCUGCUGAUGUUGGACUCCGCAACCUGGACCCCAUGCCCUCUGAGGGCAAGAAGGGCUCCUUGAAGGAGGAGAGCACCCUGCAGGAGCUGCUGCUGUCCCCUUACCUGUGGGUGCUCUCCACUGGUUACCUUGUGGUGUUUGGAGUAAAGACCUGCUGUACUGACUGGGGCCAGUUCUUCCUUAUCCAGGAGAAAGGACAGUCAGCCCUUGUAGGUAGCUCCUACAUGAGUGCCCUGGAAGUUGGGGGCCUUGUAGGCAGCAUCGCAGCUGGCUACCUGUCAGACCGGGCCAUGGCAAAGGCGGGACUGUCCAACUACGGGAACCCUCGCCAUGGCCUGUUGCUGUUCAUGAUGGCUGGCAUGACAGUGUCCAUGUACCUCUUCCGGGUAACAGUGACCAGUGACUCCCCCAAGCUCUGGAUCCUGGUAUUGGGAGCUGUAUUUGGUUUCUCCUCGUAUGGCCCCAUUGCCCUGUUUGGAGUCAUAGCCAACGAGAGUGCCCCUCCCAACUUGUGUGGCACCUCCCACGCCAUUGUGGGACUCAUGGCCAAUGUGGGCGGCUUUCUGGCUGGGCUGCCCUUCAGCACCAUUGCCAAGCACUACAGUUGGAGCACAGCCUUCUGGGUGGCUGAAGUGAUUUGUGCGGCCAGCACGGCUGCCUUCUUCCUCCUACGAAACAUCCGCACCAAGAUGGGCCGAGUGUCCAAGAAGGCUGAGUGAAGAGAGUCCAGGUUCCGGAGCACCAUCCCACGGUGGCCUUCCCCCUGCACGCUCUGCGGGGAGAAAAGGAGGGGCCUGCCUGGCUAGCCCUGAACCUUUCACUUUCCAUUUCUGCGCCUUUUCUGUCACCCGGGUGGCGCUGGAAGUUAUCAGUGGCUAGUGAGGUCCCAGCUCCCUGAUCCUAUGCUCUAUUUAAAAGAUAACCUUUGGCCUUAGACUCCGUUAGCUCCUAUUUCCUGCCUUCAGACAAACAGGAAACUUCUGCAGUCAGGAAGGCUCCUGUACCCUUCUUCUUUUCCUAGGCCCUGUCCUGCCCGCAUCCUACCCCAUCCCCACCUGAAGUGAGGCUAUCCCUGCAGCUGCAGGGCACUAAUGACCCUUGACUUCUGCUGGGUCCUAAGUCCUCUCAGCAGUGGGUGACUGCUGUUGCCAAUACCUCAGACUCCAGGGAAAGAGAGGAGGCCAUCAUUCUCACUGUACCACUAGGCGCAGUUGGAUAUAGGUGGGAAGAAAAGGUGACUU
rnacentral:lncRNA from 1 species